AUCCAGCCGAUGAAUUCUGAAUAGGACGAAACACGCGUCCUGGAU
rfam:Schistosoma curassoni strain Dakar, Senegal genome assembly, scaffold: SCTD_scaffold0001283